GCACAAGCAGUGGAGUAUGUGGUUUAAUUCGAAGCAACGCGAAGAACCUUACCAGGUCUUGACAUCCGAUGCAUAGCACAGAGAUGUGUGAAAUCCUUCGGGACGUCGAGACAGGUGGUGCAUGGUUGUCGUCAGCUCGUGUCGUGAGAUGUUGGGUUAAGUCCCGCAACGAGCGCAACCCUUAUUGCCAGUUACUACGUUAAGAGGACUCUGGCGAGACUGCCGUUGACAAAA
rnacentral:rRNA from 1 species